AGUAACGUGACCGUAAUCUUUGUGGCGAUGGAACAUAUCCAGUGCAAUGGUGUGACUCACUGAUGUGUUUUUAAUAGUAUUUGGACAACAACGGAGGUCUAUGGCACAGAAGAAUACACUAUAAUCAGGAUUUGGAUACACACGCAAUACUUUUCACUGCCGCAACAAAGGCAUUACAGCACACAGCCUGGUCCAAGAAAUGCUGGUGUCCAUCCACUGAGAGUUUGUUCUGACUCUGCAGAUCUUGUAAACAUCCUAAACUCCGCUCACAGAUCAUCAGAGGUAGUGACUCCUAG